UGGUGAAUUUAUAAAGUCUAGCCUGCCCACUGAUUUUUUAAAGGGCCGCGGUAAUUUGACCGUGCGAAGGUAGCAUAGUAAGUAGUCUUUUAAUUGAAGACUUGAAUGAAUGGUUGGAUGAGAGGUAGGCUGUCUUUUUAAUAAUUUAUAAAAUUUAACUUUUAAGUGAAAAGGCUUAAAUUAACUAAGGGGACGAUAAGACCCUAUAAAACUUCACAUGAAACGUUGUAGUUUAUGGAUCUUGUUUAAUGUAAUUUCAGCGUUUUUUGUUUUGUUGGGGCGACAUGGAUAAAAAGUAACUGUCUAUUAAAAUUCAAUAACAAUAAUUAGUUUGUGAUCCUUUAUUAAGGAUUAAAAGAAUAAGUUACUUUAGGGAUAACAGCGUGAUUUUUCUUGAGAGUUCUUAUCGACGGAAGUAGUUGCGACCUCGAUGUUGAAUUAAAAUUUCGGUUAGGUGUAGCCGCUUAAUUAGUGGGUCUGUUCGACCUUUAAAAUUUUACAUGAUUUGAGUUCAAACCGGUGUGAGCCA
rnacentral:rRNA from 1 species